GUCGUUAACAACCAUCAAGCCUGGCUUGCCGUUGAGCCCCGCCCGUGACAGGGCCGGCUCGAAAGACAGCGACGGCGUCGGUCGGACCCUAGAUGCAACGAGCUCUGAGUAGCACGCAUCGAUGUGGCCGGCCGCGCCCGUCCACCCCUUUUCUAUCUCAGGUUGACCUCGGAUCAGGUAGGAAUACCCGCUGAACUUAA
rnacentral:misc_RNA from 1 species